AUGGAGUCCACCGCGUCACCGCCGUCGCAGCCGUUGCCUCCGCCCAGCACCACGGCGGCCACCAUAGCCGCCGGCACCGUCGUCGCCGCCACGGAUCAACAAGGCUCUGAUACCAAUUGUUGGCGCCGCCUCCUCGCAGCGUCUUCUUCUUCUUCUUGGCUGUCUCUCACAGCUCAACCCUCUCUCUUGUGGUUUCUCUCAAACACACACCAUGAAAAAACUCUCACGAAACACACACACACGCAUGGACCAAGGAAGAAGGAGGCAAUAGCUUUGCAAGAGACACCUUCCUCUUGGUCAGCCAUGGCUACAUCUUUUUCUCAGCCCUCACGGCCUCCCUUUCUCAUUGACUCAAAGUAG
rnacentral:rRNA from 1 species